rnacentral:lncRNA from 1 species
AAUUAAACUCCAUGCCUAUGUGUGGCUCAAUCAAAUUCUCAGUUAAUGGCAUAGCCAUAAGCUGUCCAACACAUUUAUCAUCUUCGCCUAUACACAAUUCCAUGCUUGUUGAGAGCUCGUCAUCAAGAAAAACAUUGCCAUUACUGUCAAUAGGCAAAAAGCUUUUUCUUUCAACAGAAUUAAAUACUUGACUUGUUGAGUUAUCCAUAGCGCGCACAAACCUAUAGAAUCUGCAAGUCCAUCAUUGUUGUGCUGCAGCAUGAGGAAAUGACCAUCAACAAGUGGCCAAGGAAAAAAGCAAAAGUAUAACAUAAAUUUUCUGAAAAUUGGUCACAAGAUGCUUGAAAAUCUCUCUGUGGUCCGCUUUUAUGAUUGAGAAACCUCAUUCUAUUAAUGAGACUGCAAAAUUAAUAAGAUCGAGACAUAUUUUUGACAAAUAAAUCAACGUUUCGAGAAAGCAAGGGUUAGACACCAGCUCAUAAAUUUGUGGGAAUUGAGUGAGCAAAGUCCAUCCUCUUUGACACCAUUUGUAUGAAUGGAGGCUCAUUAUCCCCAGUAAAUGACACACUGACCAUACUCCGUCAUUCUUAAGUGAAAUCAUAAAAUGGUGCUUUUCCUGUGGGAGUAACAACAGGGAUAAAUCAGCGGUGGAUGGACUCUAUAACACCGACCUACUACUGCCAUUCGCCAGACUGGUUUUUUCCCUACAUAUAAGAUCUCCCGUAUAAAUGCCUCUCUUACAAUGCCUAAUUUAUACAAGGUCGUGUGAAUAAGUUCACAGAUUCAAGCUUAACAAUGGAAGCUUGUGGACAAUUGCUUCAAUUGAAAGCGGGGUUUUCCCUCCAAAACAUCAGAAAAACGAACCCUUCGACCGUAUCUGAAGUAUCUCCACACUCCAUUUUGACCCAACAAAGUGAUAAUGCUUCUCAUUCUUCUCACUACCGACACCUUCUUCAUUCAUUCGCUCAUUCAUCAUAUUAACUAAGCCGUAGAAAUUUAAGAAUUAAAAACAAAAAUAAAAAGCGUAUAAAAAUUAACGAUUAAAGAAACUUAAAAAGAAUAAACAGUUGAAGAGUCUUAAUUAGUGGAUUUUAACUCCGUAAUAUGAGGUUAAUGAUUCCAAAUUCAGGAGAAGUUAAUAAAGUCAGUUAAAAAGAAAGGAAAGAGGAAGAAGAACGUACCGAAAACAGAAACCCUAACUACUUGUGAAAGAAAGCUUGGGUUAAACGUUAGCCGGCUCAAUCAGAUGAAUUGCGGUUGGAUUUGAUUUGAUGUUCCCGCUUGCCAGCCGGCAACUGGAAAUAUUUGCCGCCUAUUUUCGGAAGCUCUGGAAAUGGAGAAAAAUGAGGAGUGCGCCGUACGGAGAGGUCUAUCAGGUCUCAAGGAUCUCACCCACACGACGUUGAGAUCCCCCGGUCACAACUUCGUGAC